GACGAACGCUGGAGGCGUGCCUAAUACAUGUAAGUUGAGCGCUGAAGGUUGGUACUUGUACCAACUGGAUGAGCAGCGAACGGGUGAGUAACGCGUGGGGAAUCUGCCUUUGAGCGGGGGACAACAUUUGGAAACGAAUGCUAAUACCGCAUAAAAACUUUAAACACAAGUUUUAAGUUUGAAAGAUGCAAUUGCAUCACUCAAAGAUGAUCCCGCGUUGUAUUAGCUAGUUGGUGAGGUAAAGGCUCACCAAGGCGAUGAUACAUAGCCGACCUGAGAGGGUGAUCGGCCACAUUGGGACUGAGACACGGCCCAAACUCCUACGGGAGGCAGCAGUAGGGAAUCUUCGGCAAUGGACGAAAGUCUGACCGAGCAACGCCGCGUGAGUGAAGAAGGUUUUCGGAUCGUAAAACUCUGUUGGUAGAGAAGAACGUUGGUGAGAGUGGAAAGCUCAUCAAGUGACGGUAACUACCCAGAAAGGGACGGCUAACUACGUG
rnacentral:rRNA from 1 species